GAUGAAGAACGUAGCGAAAUGCGAUAAGUAAUGUGAAUUGUAGAAUUCAGUGAAUCAUCGAAUCUUUGAACGCACCUUGCGCCUUUUGGUAUUCCGAAAGGCACACCUGUUUGAGCGUCAUGAAUACCUCAAUCUCCAUCUUUUCUUCGGAUUGAUGGGUGACUUGGAUGUUGAGCCCUGCUGGUAUGCUAUAUCAGCUGGCUUUAAACUUAUUAGCCGGCUCUGUACUGGAUCGGUUUGACUCGACGUGAUAAUAUUAUCGUUGAGGAUGCAUGUCUCAUGCAGCCGGAAAGUAUCAAAGCAGCUUCUAGCUUGCCUUUAGUGCACUUUUACAUUUUAGACCUCAGAUCAGGUGGGACUACCCGCUGAACUUAAGCAUAUCAAUAAGCGGAGGA
rnacentral:misc_RNA from 1 species